rnacentral:tRNA from 1 species
GAUGAUCAUAAUUUAAUGGUAAAAUUUCGAAUUGUGGAUUCGAUGAUAUGGGUUCGAUUCCCAUUGAUCAUCA